rnacentral:rRNA from 1 species
GACGGGACCCGCACAAGCGGUGGAUGAUGUGGAUUAAUUCGAUGCAACGACGAAAACCUUACCUACCCUUGACAUGUCCGGAAUCCCGAAGAGAUUUGGGAGUGCUCGCAAGAGAGCCGGAACACAGGUGCUGCAUGGCUGUCGUCAGCCCGUGUCGUGAGAUGUUGGGUUAAGUCCCGCAACGAGCGCAACCCUUGUCAUUAGUUGCCAUCAUUUGGUUGGGCACUCUAAUGAGACUGCCGGUGACAAACCGGAGGAAGGUGGGGGAUGAUGUCAAGUCCUCAUGGCCCUUAUGGGUAGGGCUUCACACGUCAUACAAUGGUCGGUACAGAGGGUUGCCAACCCGCGAGGGGGAGCUAAUCCCACAAAGCCGAUCGUAGUCCGGAUCGCAGUCUGCAACUCGACUGCGUGAAGUCGGAAUCGCUAGUAAUCGUGGAUCAGCAUGUCACGGUGAAUACGUUCCCGGGUCUU